AUCUUCCAGCCUCAGCCUCAGGAGGGCUGGGAUUACAGAAAAGGAGAGUUGGAGAAAAUUCAAAAACCAGAAAUAACUAAAGAAGUGGAAAGUAUGACCUGUGAGAAGAGUAAAAUGAGGUAUAGUCUGAAGAAGAAAAGGGUGCCACAUGCUCUGAGAUGGCCUAUUGAAGUACCUUGCUUACCUCAGUCUGGCAUGCUUAUAUGGAAUCCUCCCUCGAUUAUAUUAUUUAUGAAAACCUUAGACCUAACAAAAUUAUGUCAGAUGUAAAACAAACUCAGCCAAGUUCAAAUAAGAAGAAGAGGCCAGGAUGACAGCGGCAGCCAGAGAAUACGUAAGUGUUCUGAAAAUGAUUCUAGCAGAUGUUUAAUGACUAGUUGAAAUGAUUGGGACAGAGCUGUCUAGUCCAUGAGUCACCCUACAUGGUCAGCAGCAGACACUUGUGGUGUCUGCAUUCAGUCUUCCACAUAUGUUUUACUAAAGUGCUAUGCUACAGCAUAUUUGUUAACAAAGGUUACACCAGAAUGCCAUUAAUUAUGAUAAACCACAAUUUACUGUCAACAUUUUCCUGUUCAACGGAAGUUUCUAAUCACUACUAUUUGGCUUCCUGGCCUUAUCGUUUCUCAUUCUCCUACUUCAGCACUUCCCAAAGACAUAUUUGCCUUGAAGUGUGUGAAGCCAAUCUAUCAAUGAAAACUUGUAAAUGUCAGGAGCAGCUGAGAGAUAUACAGUAUUCUAGGUUAG